CACGCUCUUAUCGUGUCCUCGACGAAAUCCUUGAAACAAAUAUUUCCGUAACGCGACAUAAUUAGAAAUUAAUUGUGAUGGAUACCACAAUUCGAUCACUGAGUGCGCGUGUGAUUCAAUCAGAAAUAAGAACAGUAAUGACAUCAAUGACAGUCGGUAACAGGAUAUGAGAAUGCAUAGGAGGCGUGCUUAUUGCUGAAAAAAUGGUAAACAUGUGUUAUUACGUGGAAAUAUGACAUAAUUCGCGCAGUUACGAAAGAUUAGCGGGAACAAGAGUGCAGGCGGUAUAGCAAUCGUUCGCCGCAAUUGUUUCUGCGGGUUUUUUUUUCUCAUACCAGUCGUGCAUCGACGUACCUCGAGGAAACCGACCGGAGAUGAGCGUCGAUUGGCUGAAGUGCUCGAAAUGUUGCUUGAAAUCGGAAUCGGCGAAUAAAUCAACGACUGAGGAAUUAAUUGUGAUAAAAUUUACAUUCGACCAGAAAUUCCUUUGCACUGAGUCGUCGAUCUUUGUUAAGUCGAUCGAUUCUCUAGAGGGAACGCGCGGGACGAAGGUUGCUCGAGUUGGCCCCGAAGCUAGGACAACGGGUGCAUUUUGCGGAGGGCACGAACUUAAGAUGCCGCGAAGACCCUCCGAUAUCGCCCGAUUCGGAAGAAA